rnacentral:tRNA from 1 species
GUGGCUUAAUGGUAAAGAACCUGACUAGUAUCCAUGAGGACGCAGGUUUGAUUCCUGCC